GUGGGGAAUAUUGGACAAUGGGCGAAAGCCUGAUCCAGCCAUGCCGCGUGUGUGAAGAAGGUCUUCGGAUUGUAAAGCACUUUAAGUUGGGAGGAAGGGUAGUAACCUAAUACGUUGCUACUUUGACGUUACCGACAGAAUAAGCACCGGCUAACUUCGUGCCAGCAGCCGCGGUAAUACGAAGGGUGCAAGCGUUAAUCGGAAUUACUGGGCGUAAAGCGCGCGUAGGUGGUUCAGUAAGUUGGAAGUGAAAUCCCCGGGCUCAACAUGGGAACUGCUUUCAAAACUGCUGAGCUAGAGUACGGUAGAGGGUGGUGGAAUUUCCUGUGUAGCGGUGAAAUGCGUAGAUAUAGGAAGGAACACCAGUGGCGAAGGCGACCACCUGGACUGAUACUGACACUGAGGUGCGAAAGCGUGGGGAGCAAACAGGAUUAGAUACCCGAGUAGUCC
rnacentral:rRNA from 1 species